UGGGGAAUAUUGCACAAUGGGCGCAAGCCUGAUGCAGCCAUGCCGCGUGUGUGAAGAAGGCCUUCGGGUUGUAAAGCACUUUCAGCGAGGAGGAAGGUGGUGGACUUAAUACGUUCAUCAAUUGACGUUACUCGCAGAAGAAGCACCGGCUAACUCCGUGCCAGCAGCCGCGGUAAUACGGAGGGUGCAAGCGUUAAUCGGAAUUACUGGGCGUAAAGCGCACGCAGGCGGUUUGUUAAGUCAGAUGUGAAAUCCCCGGGCUCAACCUGGGAACUGCAUUUGAAACUGGCAAGCUAGAGUCUCGUAGAGGGGGGUAGAAUUCCAGGUGUAGCGGUGAAAUGCGUAGAGAUCUGGAGGAAUACCGGUGGCGAAGGCGGCCCCCCUGGACGAAGACUGACGCUCAGGUGCGAAAGCGUGGGGCAGCAAACAGGAUUAGAUACCCUGGUAGUCCACGCUGUAAACGAUGUCGAUUUUGGAGGUUGUGCCCCUUGAGGCGUGGCUUCCGGAGCUAACGCGUUAAAUCGACCGCC
rnacentral:rRNA from 1 species